rnacentral:rRNA from 1 species
CGAGCGAGGUAGCAAUACCUAGCGGCAGACGGGUGCGUAACAUGUGGGAAUCUGCCUUUUGGUUCGGAAUAACACGAGGAAACUUGUGCUAAUACCGGAUAAGUCUUUACGGAGAAAGCUUUAUGCACCAUUGGAUGAGCCCGCACUUGAUUAGUUUGUUGGUAGGGUAAUGGCCUACCAAGACUAUGAUCAAUAGCUGAUUUGAGAGGAUGAUCAGCCACACUGGGACUGAGAUACGGCCCAGACUCC